UACGGGGGGAGCAAGCGUUGUUCGGAUUUACUGGGCGUAAAGGGCGCGUAGGCGGUCAGCACAAGUCAGUUGUGAAAUCUCCGGGCUUAACUCGGAAAGGUCAACUGAUACUGUGCGACUAGAGUGCAGAAGGGGCAACUGGAAUUCUCGGUGUAGCGGUGAAAUGCGUAGAUAUCAGGAGGAACACCAAUUGCGAAGGCAGCUCGCUGGGACGUUACUGACGCUGAGACGCGAAAGCGUGGGGAGCAAACAGG
rnacentral:rRNA from 1 species